GCCAGUAAACAACCUGUAUUAAAAAGCUUCCAUUCAUCUUUGCAAUUCAAAGCCAGUUUCCUGUUCUAGCUCAGGACCUGGACCCUGUGGUGACUGUGCUCCUUCUCAGGCUGAAGGAGUCCAUUAGAGGUGGUGUGGAUAUUGAAAUAUGAAUCUGGUUCUGAUACAUGGCAGAGAGGAAACAGGAAUCCUGAGAGACUGCUGUAAUGAGGAGCCUCCUUUAUUCCCAGCUUCUUGAGAGCAAGGAGAAUUUGCAGUGUGAAUCGAAGCAAGUUCAAAUCCUCGAGGCAAUGCAAUACUGAAAACUAAGCUGUACUGAUUGCACAGCACGUGCUAAGCUGUGGGACUCCUUGC
rnacentral:lncRNA from 1 species